rnacentral:rRNA from 1 species
ACACAUGCAAGUCGAACGAUGAACUGGAGCUUGCUCCAGGGAUUAGUGGCGAACGGGUGAGUAACACGUGAGUAACCUGCCCUUGACUCUGGGAUAAGCGUUGGAAACGACGUCUAAUACCGGAUAUGAACUGUGACGGCAUCGUCUGCAGUUGGAAAGAAUUUUGGUCAAGGAUGGACUCGCGGCCUAUCAGGUAGUUGGUGAGGUAAUGGCUCACCAAGCCGACGACGGGUAGCCGGCCUGAGAGGGUGACCGGCCACACUGGGACUGAGACACGGCCCAGACUCCUACGGGAGGCAGCAGUGGGGAAUAUUGCACAAUGGGCGAAAGCCUGAUGCAGCAACGCCGCGUGAGGGACGACGGCCUUCGGGUUGUAAACCUCUUUUAGUAGGGAAGAAGCGAAAGUGACGGUACCUGCAGAAAAAGCACCGGCUAACUACGUGCCAGCAGCCGCGGUAAUACGUAGGGUGCAAGCGUUGUCCGGAAUUAUUGGGCGUAAAGAGCUCGUAGGCGGUUUGUCGCGUCUGCUGUGAAAUCUGGGGGCUCAACCCCCAGCCUGCAGUGGGUACGGGCAGACUAGAGUGCGGUAGGGGAGAUUGGAAUUCCUGGUGUAGCGGUGGAAUGCGCAGAUAUCAGGAGGAACACCGAUGGCGAAGGCAGAUCUCUGGGCCGUAACUGACGCUGAGGAGCGAAAGCAUGGGG